CGCGGCCUAUCAGCUUGUUGGUGAGGUAAUGGCUCACCAAGGCGUCGACGGGUAGCCGGCCUGAGAGGGUGACCGGCCACACUGGGACUGAGACACGGCCCAGACUCCUACGGGAGGCAGCAGUGGGGAAUAUUGCACAAUGGGCGCAAGCCUGAUGCAGCAACGCCGCGUGAGGGAUGACGGCCUUCGGGUUGUAAACCUCUUUCAGCAGGGAAGAAGCGAAAGUGACGGUACCUGCAGAAGAAGCGCCGGCUAACUACGUGCCAGCAGCCGCGGUAAUACGUAGGGCGCAAGCGUUGUCCGGAAUUAUUGGGCGUAAAGAGCUCGUAGGCGGCUUGUCACGUCGGUUGUGAAAGCCCGGGGCUUAACCCCGGGUCUGCAGUCGAUACGGGCAGGCUAGAGUUCGGUAGGGGAGAUCGGAAUUCCUGGUGUAGCGGUGAAAUGCGCAGAUAUCAGGAGGAACACCGGUGGCGAAGGCGGAUCUCUGGGCCGAUACUGACGCUGAGGAGCGAAAGCGUGGGGAGCGAACAGGAUUAGAUACCCUGGUAGUCCACGCCGUAAACGGUGGGCACUAGGUGUGGGCAACAUUCCACGUUGUCCGUGCCGCAGCUAACGCAUUAAGUGCCCCGCC
rnacentral:rRNA from 1 species